AUAAAUAAGUGCCAGUGAAGCAAAAAGCAUGUGAUUACUCAGUGCACCUGCAGAAACAGACGAUAUUCUAUCAGGAAUCCUUCAGUCAUGAAGACACUCGCUGUUCCCAGAGGCUCGGCAGACGGGCGUGUGGAAUAGAUCACUGACGCUCUCAGAUCUUCCAGCACGUGGAGAGACGCAGACAGACGGAAGCUGGAGGUCUGGAACGCUGGACAUCCUCACCUCGUCACUGUUGUUUGAUUUGCUCGACUGCAGGGAAGCGCUGGAAGCUCCAUUCAUCACCACAGAGACGACAGCACUUUGUCCAGACUCACCAGGCAGGCCUUCUUGCCAAGACAA
rnacentral:lncRNA from 1 species